rnacentral:misc_RNA from 1 species
GUGGAAGUAAAAGAAUAGAGGGUGGUGUUUUAAAUACAAGCAAAACAAAAGUUAUAAUUACACUAAAAAAUUCAAAUUAUGCCAUAGGGAUUUUAGAAGAAAAGCAGUUGCAAAUCACAAAUUUAGACCAAGUAGAAAGCUUUAAACUUACAAAUGCUAAAACAAAUGCCUAUGUUGUGCCUUAUGCUCCUAAUGCUAAGGUUAAUUUACUUGAUAAAGGCAAUAAAUGGAAUCCUAUGAAAUAUCCUGAUAAUGUCAAAGACGCUCUUGAUUAUAUUCCUAACAAACCUGCAAAUGAUAUUUAUGGAAAUGUCAAUUCUUUUAGUGAUAAAAGUUUAAAUAUCGAACUUAAAAGCUUUUUGCACCAAGGCAUUAAUA